AUCAGGUUCGAUUGUAGGAACU
rnacentral:snRNA from 1 species